rnacentral:rRNA from 1 species
UACGUAGGCAGCGAGCGUUGUUCGGAGUUACUGGGCGUAAAGAGUGCGUAGGCGGUUUUCUAAGUUUGGUGUGAAAUCUCCCGGCUUAACUGGGAGGUGCGCCGACGAACUGAGGAGCUUGAGUAUGGGAGAGGUAAGCGGGAAUUCCUGGUGUAGCGGUGAAAUGCGUAGAUAUCGGGGAGGAACACCUAUGGCGAAGGCAGCUCGCUGGGACGUUACUGACGCUGAGACGCGAAAGCGUGGGGAGCAAACAGG